rnacentral:rRNA from 1 species
GAUGAACGCUAGCGGGAGGCCUAACACAUGCAAGCCGAGCGGUAUUGUUUCUUCGGAAAUGAGAGAGCGGCGUACGGGUGCGUAACACGUGUGCAACCUGCCUUUAUCUGGGGGAUAGCCUUUCGAAAGGAAGAUUAAUAUUCCAUAAUAUAUUGAACGGCAUCGUUUAAUAAUGAAAGCUCAGGCGGAUAGAGAUGGGAAUGCGCAAGAUUAGCUAGUUGGGGAAGUAACGGCUCAGCAAGGCGAUAAUCUGUAGGGGGCCUGAGAGGGUGUUCCCCCACACUGGUACUGAAAAACGGACCAUACUCCUGCGGGAGGCAGCAGUGGGGAAUAGUGGUAAAUGGGUGCGAGCCUGAACCAGCCCUCCCGCGUGAAUGACGACUGCCCUAUGGGUUGUAAACUUCUUUUGUAUAGGGAUAAACCUACCCUCUAGAGGGUAGCUGAAGGUACUAUACAAAUAAGCACCGGCUAACUCCGUGCCAGCAGCCGCCGUCA